ensembl:lncRNA
GUUGCACACUUUUUAUAACCAAGAUCAUCUUUAAGCUCAAAGCCAAACAUGCAAAUUCUAACAUUUUCCCUAAAUCUGCUACAUAACCAGGAGUCUUUUGGAGAGACUAAAAAUAAGCAAAGUGUGAAAAGGAAACAAUUCUAAAUUCCAUGUGUGUUAGCCAGGUUCAGAAGAACCCCAAGAAAUUUAAAUUCAGCUAAUGGGUUUACAGUGAGCAAUCCAGAGAAUUAAAGAUCCUUUGGUUUCAACAACAGUUCUUCUUUCUAUUUGAAACUAUAUCCUGUUGCCUGGUUAAGGUUUUGCAUUUUAAGAGGCAGUGGCUGGUGCUUGCAAUAUGCACCUUUCAGUUUAAUUUCCAUCUGGGUGAACAAGAAGUCAGCUGCCUGGAGCUGAGGCAUAUUUACUGUGGACACAGAUAAUGAAAAGUUAAUCUGCUUACAGAACCUUGGCAACACCAAAAAAAAAAAAAAAAAAAAAAACCAAUGUCUCUUUUAAGAUGCUGAAGAUUACCUAAAAAGCCUGUCAGCAGAACCAUGACAUGCGUAGAUGUGGUGCCUGAUGCUCCCUGGCUGAGGAUUCUUUCUGACGAAAUACAAGCUACCCACCUGUGACUAAAGAUGACAAAGGAUGUGUACCAAAUGCAACGUAAAGACAAAUAAUCAAGCAAACGGGUUUUAUGAGAAAAGAUGAAAAGCUUCUUCCAAUGUAUACAGACUCUGAUGAAGAAAAAUGAUAGGUUUAUGGAAGGAAAGAACAUUUCCGUCAACAAGCAAACAAAGGAAAAGAAAAAUGGGAGAGAGAAAAGAUAGCUGCCCAUGAACUGCAAGGAAUCAGAGUGGAACUGAAAAAAGCCCAGAAAAAUGUGAAACUUGUACAUGGUCAUCCCAAUGCAGCAGUGUCCCCAUGGAAGAUGAUUUCUUGGGAUUUGGACAAGAGAGAAUAGACAAGCUUGGAAAUGUCAUCCUUUCUCAUGACUUAAAGUAACCAAAAUAAUUUUUAACAGCAUUAAUUUUUGGCCUUUAAGUAAGUGUCUUUCUGAUAUUUAAAUUUGUAAUGUAGAACAGUGUAUUAAAAAAAUUGAAACCAUCACAUUGCUUGACUCCAUAAGCAAUACAUUUGAAGGCAUUUAUUUCAUGGCUAUCCAAAUAUAUAUAUGCUGUUUUCUUUUACAGAUCUUUUUUUUUUUUCUCUCUCUCAAAGGACUUUUGAAAAAUCACUUCACAAUGUUAUGUUGAGAGUUGGAAUGGACAAAAUCAGAAUGAUGGAGCCAUCCAAGCCAAAAACAGUAAUCUUCUUAAUCAAGAUUAUCCUUUAAGACUACAGAAAGACUGGGAGGACAUCUCAUUUGCUUUCUCUUCUUCCCGCAGUCUCCCACCAUGAUUGUCUGGCGAUUUAGGGCUUCCCUGGUGGUGCAGUGGUGAGGAAUCCACUUGGCAAUGCAGGAGAAAUGGGUUUGGAUCCCUGGUCUGGGAAGAUCCCACAUGCUGAGGAGAAACUAAGUCCAUGUGGCACGACAAGCCUGUGUGCUCGUGUCCAGGAGCUGCAGCCGCUGGACUGGCUCACUUUGGGGUCGGUUCUCUGCAACAGGUGAAGCCACUGCAAUGAGAAGUCCGCACACAGCAACUGGAGAGUGGCCUCGCUUGCUGUAACUAGAGAAAAGCCCACACAGCAAUGAAAACCCCGUG